AAAAAUUGAAUACUUUUAUUUCAUAAAAUUCGGGGUCUUACACUGGUAAAAUUCCCUUGAUCCAUUUUGAUAUUGUAGAAUACAAGAUGCCAGACAGGGUGAUGAGACAGUAUGGGUUCCUACAAGGUAUGUGACUCCCCCAAAAUAGGUAUACAUCACCCAUCUUGGGUCGCCAAAUACAUGGUAUAAAAUUUAAAUACAAACUUAAUUUAUAUAAUGCGACAAUAGCGUAGCCGAGAGUUUUAACACGAAUAUUGUCUCGUAUACAAUAUCCAAACUCAAAUGGAGUCCUCAUUAUAUUUAUUAUCACACUACUUCAUAGAAUAGUGAGGACUACUAUAACCACCAUCUCGGACCGUCACUCCAUUCCCCGACUAGUCCCGGCUACGUUCUCAUUUCCUAAAGAGAACAAUGAAAGCAAAAGGGUGAGCUUAACUAGCCCGGUAAGAAAUAUUUUGACUAAGAUAAUGCAGAAUAAAUUAUUUUUAGCCUUUAACAAUGUUAAACUGAUAGAAUACAAUAAACAACAAGUUUAACUGCAACGGAACAAUCAAUCCAUUAGAAGAGUCAAGUUAUAAGACACUGAAUUUUAUGAAAUAAAAGUAUUCAAUUUUUCUAUUUAGUAAAUAGUUAAAUUGAUAAAAGUUUAAAGUUAAGGGUGAUAUAUAUAUUUUUUAUCAAAACAAGCAAGUGGUUAUAAAAUACUCAUUGUUGUCAGAAAAUAUUCGUUUGGUCGUAGAAUAUUUUUGCUAUCGAGGAAUAUUCGUACGACGGCGCUUCCAUUUUUGGGCUCCAUAAUAAAAUAAUUAUCGGAUGAAGAAAAUGACAAGUAUGAGUUUUUAUAAAUAACGGCGUAGUUGUUACCGUUAACACUGUUGGAAUACCCGGUGGUUAAAAUACAGUAAUACGCGUGGUUGCAUAGUAGCACACGAUAUUGCACAGUAUUUUUGGAUUAUUAAUUUUUACAUAAGAAGGCACUACUCAAUAAUUGUUACAGUAAUUACUGUUCAAUAUUUUAUUUUAUUGAUUCAAUAAUUGUUACGCUGAUAUUUUAUAUUAUUGUUGCUUUAAUAAUUGUCACUGCACAAUAUUUCUCAUUAUCAAAUCAAUAAUUUAUAUUAUUUGAAUAAUAUUAUUAGAUAGCAUUAUUGGCAAUGUCUAAAGAAGUUCUAUCUAGGAAAGGGGUUUGGUCACCUAAUUGCGCGCCAAUAAAGAAAAAUUCUUAUCGGAAAGCCCCCUCUUUCCUAGGAACGACCUGGUUGUCAUAAUUGUGAUUCUGUAAUAUUAUAUGUGAAUAAUUAAUUAUUGAUUUAUAUGAUAAGGAAAUAUUUAUUUUUAUAUGAAUAUAAAUGAAGGAAUUAAUGAUGAGGUGUUUUAUCAAUAUUUUGUUGGAAUGGAGGUAUUAAAAAUCGUCCGUAUAUAGAUUUCGAGCAUUUUUUGUUUGGAAUUUGAAAAAACUUUCUUCUACAAAGUUGUAGAGAAUUAAAUUUCCUAUGAAAUAGACAUGUGAUUCGAAUUUUUCUAAUAAAAGGGCUAUUUAUUAUGAAUUAUUGAAGUUUCUGAUUAUUGUUUAAAUUUUAAAAUAUUUUGAAAAUUUCUAGAAUGGGUGGGCCCCACUUUUGGUUAGUGAAAAUGUUCUGAAAUUUUAUUUCAAAAGUGGUGUACAUGAAUAGUAAUAGGUAAAGCCAUCAGGUAGCAGGUUAGUCUGCUUUGGCGUUCUAGCAUUUUCCUAUAAAUAGGGUGCUUAGUUAGAAUUGAAAAUCACACCAAAAUCUGAAGUUUUCACUCUCUAUAUUAUCGAGCGUAUUCUUGUGAGUAUUUAGAUACUUUGAGAGUUGCUAUUCAGUACAAGUUUCCUUCAGCAUUACAUCCGAUAUUUCAGUCAAAAGUACUGUUCUUUUGAGGUAAGGGGUGGUAAGGGAUAUUAUUUUCUUCGUAAAUGAUAUUAUUUCUUUCAAUAUCAUUAUACCGAAAUAUUGGUAUGAAUUUUAUUGGAAAAUUUUUACUAUUUUGUGUUGGAGUUACUAUUCACGUAUACGGCACUAUUCACGUAUAUGGCACUAUUUACGUAUACGAUAUUAUUUACAUAUACGGUACUAUGUACGAAUACGAGUUACUAUUCACGAAUUACUAUUCAUGAGUUACUAUUCAUAGGGUACUAUUCAAGACAAAAUUAAUUUCUUUUUCUGACCAAAUUAUCGUUGAUUUAAAAAUCUUACUCUUGAAAUUAAAUCCAUGUUUUGAUCAUAUUGUUUUUAUUAUCAUAUAUAACAUUUUUAUAACCUUGGUGACGAAAUUUCUCUCACUUGAGAGUAAAGAUGGGUAGAUUAUUGGUAUGAUCGUGACUAUGGGUUCUCUUUGGCCAGUAGUGUAAAGAUGAAUUGUUGACUGGUAUGAUCAAGACCAUUGAAUUUAUAAUUGAAUAUCUUUAUCUUUAGUACAAAGGUGAAUUGAUCAACAUAGUUAUAAUUAUUGUUUAUAUAAAUUCUGAAAUGAUUAUAUAUUUCUUUGAGAUAUUAAUAUCUUUGGUCUGUAGUGCAAAGAUGAAUUGUUGAUGAAUAUAUUUGGCCCGUAGUGCAAAGAUGGCCUGUUGUUGAAUAUCUUUGGCAUGUAAUCCAAAGAUGGCCUGUUGUUGAAUAUAUUUGGUCGGUAGUGCAAAGAUGAACUGUUAAUGAAUAUCUUUGGCCCGUAGUGUAAAGAUGAAUUUAUUAGUAUGAUUAUGAACAGGAACUGUGAUUUGGUAUAACCAUGAUCUUUGAUGUUACAGGUAAAGACAUGUAAUGAAAAUUAUCUUUGUCUUGGAUGAGAAGAGGAAUUUAGAAUUACAAUUAUGAUUAUGAGUUAUUCACAUGAUUGUGGAUAGGAACUGUUGACUGAUGUUACAGGGUUAAAACAUUAUUGGUGGACUUUUAACAUGGAGAAGAUAAUAGACUUUAUGGUCUAUUUGACUCUUCUAAUGGAUUAUUCGUUCCGCUGCAACUAUGGUUAAAAAGUUUUAUCAUCUACCAUAUGUUCUAAAUCUCUGAUUCAUUACUAACGAAGGCUAUUGAUAAUUUAAUUAUCUUUAGUCAUGAUAUUCUUUACUGGGCUAGUUGUGUUCACCCUUUUGCUUCACAAUUCCUUUCAGAUAAUAAGAGUGUAGCUGCGUCGAGCAGGGGUAACAAAGAAUAGAAUGGUUGUCUAUAGCUGUUCAGGUUUCCCCUAAAACAGUAUGAAAAUAAUUUUAUUGAGAAUUUUAAAUAAAUGUGUCGUAUUUUAUACGUCCUUUAACCGUUUAUUUUGGUGAACCGAAUAGGGUGAGGUGAACCCAACUUUGGAAGGGUGUUUUACCAGAUGUCUGAUGACCUACGACUUCGUGUUAUCAUAAGACAAGGUUGUGCACAUCCACUUGUUGAUUAUAUCUAUGAGCACUACCUAUAUAAUCUUGGAAUUUUGUUGAAAUAUAAUUCUCAAUUGAAGACAAUGGAGAUAAUUAUAUGACAAGAGAAGACUCGCCAUUGAAAAGAACAUGAUAGCAAUCUUCUCUUUUUUUUAGGUCUAUUGGGUUAACCAAGGAUAAUUCUUGAGUCAUAUGAUAUCUAUUACAACUUAGAUGCAUGGCCUCCCAUGUAAGAAGGUUUCCUUGAGCAUUUUUCAAAGAUUUUAAUUUCUAAAAUAGUUAUUGAUUGUAUCUUUAUGUAAGGUAUCAAUGUGAGGUGCUAUCCAAGUAAAGGGAUGAGAGUCACAGUUGUUAUUAAAACUUAUAGUAUAUGUGUUGUCGUAUUUUGCACGAUAAUUGUAAUAAUAAAGUUGUAGUUGUUUCAUGUACCAUGUAUUUAGCGACUCAGAAUGGGUUGGGUGGAUUAAACCUAUUUUGGGGGCGUCACACAUGUAGAGCAUGAUAUCUACUAUCUUCUAUGAUUUAAAAGUUUAUCAUCAAUUUUAUUGCUGAGACUCAGCUCAAUAAAUAAUAUACAUCCCUGAAUUAUCCAUGCACUACGGGCCAAGGAUAUUCAUUAGUAUCAUAUCCAUGAAUUAUCCAUGCACUACGGACCAAGGAUAAUCGUGUUAUCACCAAUGGUCAUGAUCAUGCCAACAAUUGUCCAUCAAUGCACUACGGGCCAAUGAGGACUUUUACCACAUCAUUUGUAACAUUACAGAUCAUGAUUAUACCGAAUAAUCCAUUGCCAAUCAACAGUCCAUCUAUGCACUACGGGCCAAAGAUGACUUUCAUCGCAAUAUAAGCAUGAGGAUGAUGACAAUGAUAUAAGAAUUCAAUUAAAUUAGAGCAAGGAUAAAUUUUAAAGAUUUAUAAUUCAAUUUAUCCAGAAUUUAAUAAUGUCUAAAUUGUCAACAUGAUACUGCUUUGUGGAGUAAAAUUUAAAAAUAAUAUUGUAUCAAAAAUGAUUUGGACCAUAAAGAAAUAAUUUUUUGUCAUGAAUAGUACCCGAGUGAAUAGUACCCCGUGAAUAGUACUUUGAAAAUAGUUCCCCGUGAAUAGUUCCCCAGCAUGAAAAGAUUAAAAAUUAUCAAGAAUGCUCAGAAUAAUAUUUUCAUGAAAAGAUACUACAUGAAACACAAAUUUCAAGGAUAUUCUACUAAUUUCACGGAGUAUAGAAGCCAUACUUUAACAAAAUGAGUGUAGAAUUCAAAAUCUAAAACAAAAUAAUAUUACUUACAUACUACAGAGUGCGGAAGAAAAUAUUAUUUCUUACGAAUAUUGAACAAAAAUAAUAUCUCUUACCUCAAAAAGAGAGUACGUCUGAUUGGUAGGCAGGAAUAUUCUUGAAGAAAACUUGAACUAUUUUCUACACUUAUAACUUCCUUAAACUCUAAAGAAAUACGUUCAAUAUUAUAGAAGAAGAGUUCUCAGAAUCUGGUGUGAUUUUUUUUUCUAAACUGAACAUUCUAUUUAUAGGAUAAUGGAAGGAUACUAUUUGGAUGCACAAUAAAGGAAAAAUCACGGACUUCACAGUAACUGUCACGAAUUUUUGACGAAUUUUAUGAUUUUACUAUGCACUCACUAUGCAAAUACUAUGCAGACACUAUGCAAACACUAUGCAUAAUAAAAUAUAAUAUAUUCUAUUUUUUAUAAAAAAAAAAUUAUUAUAAUAUCUUUCUAUAUAUAACACAAAACUAAGAUAACUUCUCCCGAUGAUUUUGAAAAAUGAGUAAAUUGGGGGUCCAAAUAAUACACCAAACUUACAACAAAUACUUCAUAAAAAAAACCCCUCAAUAUUUUUAAUAUUUAUUCAUCAAUAAUAUAACUUGCAAUAUUAACAACAAUAUCAUUCCCAAGAAAGAGGGGGCUUUCCGAUAAGGAUUUCUCCCUAUUGGCGCACAAUUAGGUGACCAAAUCCUUUUCCUCGACAGAACUUUCUAGAAAUUAUCAAUAAUGUAAAUAAUAAUAUGAAUAACUUGUCAUCUCAAUUAUUGAUUUAAUAAUAUAAAAUAUUGAGCAGAUGAUAAUGUGACAAUAAUUGAAUCAAUAAUGUGAGAUACUAUGCAGCAAUUACUAUGGCAAUAAUUGAGUAUAACUGAGUGACUUCUCACGUAAGCAUCAAUAAUCAAUAUCGUGUGCUACUAUGCAACCACGCGUAUUACUGUACCUUUAUCGCCGGGUAUUUCAACAGUUAACAGUAAAACUUUCGCCGUUAUUUUUAUAAAAAGUUAUUUAUGUCGUUUUCUAACUCUGAUAGUAAUUCUGUUGUGGGGUCCACCAAUAAUUGUGUCGUCGUACGAAUAUUUUCUAUUAAAACGAAUAUUCUCCGACCAAUCGAAUAUUUUAUAACAACUUGCUUACUUUGCAAAAUUUAUAAAUAUUACCCACAACUAUAAUAUUAUAACAGAUCCACACCAUAAUUAUUCAAAAUGAUAUUUAGAGAAAAAUUCAUCUUUAUUCAUAAAAGUUGGGGUCUUACAUAUACCAUCUCUAGUAGAAAAUCACAACGAUCUUAAAAAGGAAAAAGAACAUAGAUUUGUCAUCGUUGAUUGCAUGGCCUUGAGGCGGGUGUACAUCGCAUAUUGGAAGGCUUACAUGGAGCAUCUUAAGGCAAAGAAGUAUGAAAUUUCCAACUACGUGCAACUUGAUUCAUACAUGGCUUGGUACAGGAAAAUUACACAUAGGAAACUGCAUUGCCCUCGAGGGAAGGGGACCCAAACCCUACUUAUGAGCCCCGGGCUGUUUAUAGCCAGCAACAUCAUCUUAUACAAAUGGUACACUAACAUUUGCAUAUUUUAACUUGUGUGUUGUGCAUUAAUUUAUGCAUAUUUCAUUUAUACAUCUUAUCUUGUUUACUAAUAAUACUAAUAUUGUGUUCAUCUUACAUGACAGGUUGAGAGUGCAAAGUCCUUACUUGAUAAGUGCUUUGCUUUUAUUGAGAUGCCUCCAGACUAUGUAGUUGAGAAACAAGUAUGGGACCAUCAUUACGGUGUAUACAACUCUGAAGUUAGAGGGAACAAUAUACCUCAGCAGGGGGGCUCAAUGGUAAAGAGCGAGAGGAGCCAAGUAAUGUUGCGGUACAAGAGAGUUACAUCCCCACCACCCAAACUUAUGUUCCCUCUUACUCAUUCGACUCUGACUUCACAAAGAAGGCGAAAGUUCAGGUUCUUAAUAUGAAUGUUAAUAUUAAUAUUAUUAAUGAUUAAUAACAAUAUUAGUAAUAGUAAUUAUCAUUCUUAAUAUUAUUCAGACCCAAGAUAUAGCAGAAGGGUACAUCCCCACCACCCAGGCUUAUGUGCCCUCCUACUCAUUCGAGUCUAGCUUCAUAGAGCAGACGGAAUUACAGGUACUAUUCCCUCUUAAUUUUAUCUUGUAAAAAUAUUAAUAUUAUUAAAAUUAUUAAAAUUUUUAGGUACAAGAUAUAACUGGUGGGUACAUACCCAGUCCCACCACCCAGGCUUAUGUUCCCACCCAGGCAUUUGAGACUGGCUUCAUAGAGUAGGCGGGUAAACAUGUACUAUUAUUCUCAGGUUACUAUUAUAAAAUCCCUCUUAAUUUUACUACUUAAAAAUAUUAAUAUUAGUAAUUAUUAUUAAUACUAUUUUUAUGUUUAUCAAUAUAUUUUCUAAGUAUAAGAGCAGGCGGAAUUACACAUCUCUUAUGGUGCAAAAAAGUGUCCGACCAAAAAACUUAGGGAAUACAAGAUAGAGUUUAUAAAUAAUCACUUGUUUGGGAACACACUUUCUAAUCCACCCAUAUUUCCUUUCAUACAUCCGCAAAACUUGUAUACGCUGCAACACAACGCAUUCAAGGCCAUAAGCCCUACAACUUGGAUUUUCGAGCAUUCGUUGGACGCGUACAUGCUAUUGCUGCAGGAUAGAGAGGAGUACUACAAGACGCGGGGAAUUAGAAGAUGGGCAAAAUUUGGCUUCAUGGAAUCAUUCUUCAUGCAUCUUGGCAAGAGCUUUGCGCCCCUAAGUCAGGCGAAUGGGGCAGAGAGUUUUUGUCACCCCUAUGUCCACCCAGAUAUGGGCCCGGCAUUACAUGAAUGCACAUAUAUAUUCAUGCCAGUGUGUACUUAAGAGACCAAGCAUUUUAUCUUGCUUGUAUUCUCGGUGCCUGAAUGGGCAGUCACCAUCUUUGACCCUAUGUACGAUGAUAUCCCGUGUAUGACCAUCCAGCAAAUGUAUAGAGAAUUUGUUGAAGUUGCGGUAUGUAUAUUAAUUGUUAGUGUUGUACUUUUAUAUAUGUCAUACAAUUUAUAUCCAUAAAUAAUAUUACUUUGUGCACGCAGGUCAAAUUUAUACCAGUUUGUUUAAGAAUUGGUGAUCCGCAACAUGAGUGGCCAACACAGGAUCCACGUGUGCUCAUACCAAAGUCCAGACAUGUGAAGCCUGAUAAGACAGAUUGUGGUAUUUUCGUUUACAAAUAUGUUGAUUACUUUGUUAGGGGCAGUGUAAAUAUUCGUAGAGAAAAUGGUCCUUAGAAGAUUUAAUGGUAUUUCAAUACCGAAUUGCAUGGGAACUCUUUAGAUGUCAAGCUAGACUUCUUCCCGCGGAUGAUAUUUAGACUUAUAUUUUAAUUCAUAUUAUUGGUGUACUAAUUAUGAAAUCUAUGAAAAUUCCUGUUUAUGUUUACCAUUUCAUGUUUAACGCUAUUUAGUUAAUAUUAUUAUUAUUACUAUUAUUUUUAUUUUGGGGCAUAUAUAUACGAGGUAAAUAUGGAUUAUACGAAAUGUAGUUAGGAGGAUAAGGUUGCCGAAACAAAUGAAAUAGAUGUGGAGGCACAGCUAAAGAACUCUGUCUGCACCCACAGGUUGAGUUGCAGGUGGUGGUGUACCUGAUGCUGACAAAAACAUGGAAUUUCCGCCAUGCAAUUAAACAGUAGAUAUUGAUUAGCAACAAUAGAUAACUGGUGAAACAAAAAAGGUAGCAAUAUCAGAUCUCAAAAACAUUUCUUGACAAGCCAAGGCUAGGUGUGGGUGGGUGUUUGUGUGUGCUGGGUGGUUUGGGGGGGAGGUUACACAGGUAUCAAAGUGCUCAUCUUUAAACAGUUAAAUGUAUUGUGAGCCCUAAAAGAUGAUAGAACUUUAUCCAUUAGAAAUUGCAGGCAGCAUAUAUGCAAGCAGUUCUAACAACUUCCACAUGGAAAAUAAUGCAAGAACCAGUAUUCAGAAUUAGGAACUGAGAUAACUACCAAAAAGUUCUAGGGAAAAAAAUACAUCAGAUUAUUUAUUUCAAUCAGAUAAGCUUAUCAUAAUAGGUAAUCAAUUACGUGUUCCAACAAAACUCUAGUUUUCAAUUGCCAAUUAAGGCUACCAUGCACCAAUCAUCUAGAGAUAAAUGAGAGUAGGGUAAGUGAACAAAGUGGUAAACCCCAAACAAAUGAUAUUGUCAUUGCUCCAUACUGUCAAGUAUCAACAAUUCAAGAAACACAAGCUUCAUAUGAUCCAGACCACAAAUCUCAACAGAAUUGAGCCACACUAUUCACUCAUCCUGAGAAAUAACGUUUUUGCUUUGCUUAGGGUGGUUAAGAUGGCUCCAAGAAUAUCAAAAUACAAUUUCCUUCACAUGUCAAAUAUUAAGCAUUGUUGCACUACUAUCCAAUAUUCUUCCAUAACUAUACCAAGCCAAAAUAUAUACCCAAUUCAAUUUAAAACUAAACUCACCUUUCAAAUCAAUUAGAUGUUCCAAAAUAUUAUAUUAUUUACAUCUCGAUGAGUUAAUUUUCCAAAACACAAUUUCAAUCCCCAAUUUUUCACACAUUAGAUCCCUAAAAUAGUCAGGAGUUUCAAAAAUACAUAAAUAAAUUCGAAAUUCCAUAAAAUUAAAAAAAAUAGGACUUGAAGGGACUCACCCAAGAAAGGAGGUAGGAAAAGAUGGCGGUUACCAGCGGCAGAGAUGGAGAUGGAGAUGGUGGCGGUGGUGCUCCUUCGUUGCCGCGUGGAUUGUCUAUAUAUGGGGAUAGAUCGCAGUGUGAUGGCAGGGGUGGUGCUCCGUUCAUAUCGAAGCUGCGGUGGAGAUGGAGACGAAUCAAAGCUGCAUUAAAGGUAAGCAAAGAAGAGAAAGUGGCGAUGGAAAAUCGAGAGGAGAACCAAUAUGGGUUAUUUGGGCAAAACACGUAGCUCAGAUUUAUUCAACCUAUUCACAUAUGUAUUGGAUUUUAUAUUUUUUAUGAGAU
rnacentral:lncRNA from 1 species